rnacentral:rRNA from 1 species
GGGAAGUAAAAGUCGUAACAAGGUCUCCGUUGGUGAACCAGCGGAGGGAUCAUUACUGA